UAACGCGUGGGUAACCUGCCUCAUACAGGGGGAUAACAGUUAGAAAUGACUGCUAAUACCGCAUAAGCGCACAGCAUCGCAUGAUGCCGUGUGAAAAACUCCGGUGGUAUGAGAUGGACCCGCGUCUGAUUAGCUAGUUGGUGAGGUAACGGCCCACCAAGGCGACGAUCAGUAGCCGACCUGAGAGGGUGACCGGCCACAUUGGGACUGAGACACGGCCCAA
rnacentral:rRNA from 1 species